UCCCCGCCCCACCCCUUUCCUCCCCUCCCUUCCCUUCCCUGCGCGCCGCGCUCCGGGCUUUGCCUGACAUCUAGCUGCUGCUGGGGCGCCGGCGGCCGCCGCUCACUGGCCAAGCGGAGAGGAACGGAGCUGGCGGAGAGGAGGGUCAGGGACUCGGAAGCCUUAGAGUGGGCAAUGGAGGUGAGGGGCGAGGAGCAACCACCCCCCCAGGUUUUUAAUUUCCACUGGACACAGGUUUUGUUUUCCCCAGCUGCUCCAAGCUUGGAGUUUUGUCCCUGGCUCCAGUAUUUGCCCCUAUUCAGUGCGUGUCAUCUCGCCUUGCACUUUUUCUAAACGUACUCGGGGUGGCACUGCCUGUACCUCGACAUCGGUUUUUGAAGGGCGCUUUACCGGCCUAAGCCCAGGCCUUUUGUGCCUCCGGGUCUUCUGAGCACCCAGACUGCCAGUAGCCUCCAGGCGCAGAGUUCGCGGCCCGGGUAAACCAGAUGCUAGAGGGUCCGCGGGCUCUAUCGUCGAGGGGCGGUGCCCCAUUUUGGCUGUCGCGACCCCUGGAGGCCAAGGUCGAGGUCUGAGAGAAACUUUUCUCCCUCCCAGUCUUGGCCAUCCCCUAGCCUUUGCCCUCCAGGGAACCUAGUUGAAAACAUUUCCUGAGAACUGCACCCCCUUCAGGGCAAAGUCUUCAGGGGGCGAGUAAAAGCCCGAAGACGAUUCAGAACCGCAAGUGGUUCCUCUCAUCUGGCUCCUCCACUUUAGAGGAUGGGGUUGAGGUCGGUAGCCCCCGGGUAGAGCCACCAGAAGAAAUCUCCGGAUGCGCAGAGUCCCCUUCUCCGCCCUUUUCCCUAGAGCUUGUUGAAGAUAGGGCUCGAGAGGCGCAGUGGGCUAACGUCCAGGAGCGUUGGGGUGAGGGUGAUGGCGGAGAGCGCCCUCCCUGGGUCUCCGGAGAGUCAGCCCUGGAGGUCAUUCAGCCUUAGCAACGAGGGGCUUCAGUCACUGGGUCCCCACGUUCAGUGCCUUUAUCACAUCCCCAGGCACAUCUCAGACACUGUCCCUAACGGAGAGUCGGGCCCCAGGAAUUAAAGAGUCAGGAAGGGUGGCAGAAGCCAAUAGAAGCAAAAAUCUGCUCUGGCCCCAUAAGGCCCCUUGGGGGAGGUUUACAUCAGAACUGAUCUGGGUUCAAGAGCUGCUAAUGGGGUAGUCCCAAGGAUAGGCAAUUCCAUCCCAGCCAGCAGCCCUCUCUGUUCACAAGAAAAGUGCUCAGACCUGCAGGAGUCAGAGGAGAGAAGCAAAGCUGAGGGAGAAGCACACGAAGCCAAGGUCUCCGCAGCAGCCAGCCAAGCUAAGGACCCAGCAGCCCUCCACUGAGUCAGGCCACUAGCUUGUUAGGGCUGCACCUGUGGCAUAUGGAGGUUCCCAGGCUAGGGGUUGAAUCCGAGCUACAGCUGCCGAACUACGCCACAGCCACAGCCACCGACCUACGCCACAGCCACAGCCACAUGGGAUCCGAGCCAUGUCUGCGACCUACACCACAGCUCACGGCAACACUGGAUCCCUGACCCACUGAGCGAGGCCAAGGAUCGAACCCGCGUCCUCAUGGAUACUGGUCGGAUUCGUUUCCACUGUGCCAUGACAGGAACUCCUCCCUGUUGGACCCUUGAGGUAAUCUUCUCCACGCCACCCUCCCAUCAUAAUGAAUGUCUCCUUCCUCCCCAGGCUGGCACUGUUUAAAACUCAUCAUGGUGUUGCCCGCCAUGGCCUUGUAUCUGACUGAGUUCCGUGUCUUCUGACCACCCCUUGCAUUGUGAGUUUCUAGAAGGCUUGGUCUCAGUCUUAUUCAACUUAAAAUCCUCAACUCCCAGCCCUCAGGGCCUACACACUGUCAAGAAGAGCAGAUCUCAAUAAACGUUCAUGAAUGAACUAAUCGAACAAAUGGAUACAUGCAGGCAGGCAUGGACAUAGACCCAUGGGACUUUCGGAAUCUGAGCGAGCAGGGACUAUUCUGUAGCUUAACAUUCAGGGCAGAUUUCUUUGUACCCAUGGGGUUUUCCUCAGCCUUUGAAAAAAUCUAAGAGAUACAGAUAAGCUUUGAGGAUCCUUUAGUGGCAUGCAGCUCUUUGAGGGUAUGACUGGGUUCUAUUUCAGGUUAUAUCAAUUUAUAUCUUCCGCAGAGCCCUAGAACCAAGCGUUUCUCUCUAUCCUAAAAGCAUCAGUAAAUAUUUAUUUGGAGUUUUCUGGUGGCCCAGUGAGUUAAGGAUCCCACAUUGCCACUGUUGUGGCUCUGGUUACAGCUGUGGGGCGGAUUCAAUCCCUAGCCCAGAAACCCGCAUGCUGGGUGUUUGUUGAUGAAUUGAUUGAUUACAUUGCAUUGAAUUGAAAUGGAUUGAUAUGAGUUCACUCCUUACUCCCAGAGUGGCCUUGUAUUCCCAAUCCCAAAUGGCUCUUAGUUAACCAGUCCAGGGCUGAGAGGAAGCAUCUGAUCUGCUGCUAAGGACAUCAGUGGGUAGAGGACUGCCAGCUUAAUCCUGGACUUGCACAUAAGAAAUGCAUUGGGCACAAGGACUGACAGGUUAGUUCUGCCAUGACCCAGUGUGGCAGAGACUGGCUAGCUGUUCUCCAAACGUCUUCCCAAGCACAUGAUGCAUUACAUUUUUUAGCUUUCCCUGCUGCUGGAUACAGGCCAUGUGAUUGCAUUCUCGCCAAUGAAUGGAUUGUGAGCAGAAGACCAUUGUGCCCAGGGCCAGCCCGUAAACACUCCCAGGUGGAUUUAUCCAUGCCCUUCCCCUUGGUGACCUGACACCAUGAGCAUAGAGAUACCUUGAAAGCUGAGUGAUGGGGACGUCAGCAGAACUAACAUGGCAGGAGCCUGGAUCCCUGCAUCACAACCUGGAGGGCCGCUACCUGUCUACUGAGAGCUUCCAUUGUGGACUUUAUAGAAACAAGAAAUAAACAUUUGAUAUCCUGA